GACCGAGCCGCGCGCCAGGCUCCUGUGCGAGGAGGACGCGCUGACUCCCUCCGACCUGGGCUCCGAUGGAGCAGAAAUAGCGGGACCUGGACUUGUGGCGCGCCUGGUGCCACAUCUCGGGCUCUGCGAGCGUCCUGGCGCGGGAUCCUGCCGUUUGCAUCCAAGAGAGGGGAGGACAGGGGCAAAAGGAUGCAGGGAGGCUGCUGAUUUCCACUGAAGAGCUAAUUUCCUGUGAGACAUUAACAGUGAUUUAAGAAAAAGAUUCCUGUAACUGGUAAGGAAACUGAGGUAUACAAGGAUGAACUUUUGCAAGGCUACAAAUCUUGUUAAUAGUGAAGCUAACGUUCAGACCCAAGUGGUUCGGCUCUAGACUUUGUCUCAGUUACUGAAUUGAACUCUCUGUGCACUUACGAUGUGUCAUACCAGUUCUCACUACAUAGUGUCCCAAAAGAUUGGGCCUGCUCUUUCUUUCAGAGACAAUUAGGAAAAAAGUAAACAAACGGAGCAGGAUUUGGGCAUAACAGCAUGCUCCUCCCAUCCCCCAAAUCCCAGGAGUGUCACUGAGUAAUGUCUUACAAUAACAGAAUGCAGGAGAGCACAUAUCAAUGAAGAAAAGACAAAAUGUACUUAUCCAUGAAGCUGAGGUUAAGAAACCAGUGUCUUCAAGAGCCAGGGACAGCACUGGGUCUGUGCAGAGUUGAGAGAUGGUGAUGACAUGUGGUUUCCAGCAUUCCUCACCCAGUCCAGGGACACUGUGGGUGUGCCCAGCUUAAGUCCAGUAACUGGAAAUACAAGCCCAAGUUCUGGAGAGUUUGAGCUGCAGAGAUAUAUAUGGGAACACUUUGAAUCUUGACUCAUUGGCCAUAACCAGCAGAGUGGAAAAUACAAGAAGAGAAAAAAACAUUGAACUGCGAUUUUAUAACAUCCUUUACUAGGCAGAGAGAAGAGGAAACACCAGGAAAGAAAACUGUAUUACGAUGUGAAAACUUAAUGUUGAGAAAUUCAGGCAUCUUGGGGUUAGUGAGGAGAAGUUUUAGGGGCUUAGAUUCUUCUAAACACAUGUACAGAAAUGCAUAUUUCAUCUGAUAUCAAAUGGCAUUUAUAGUGCUAAUCUUUACCUCAAGACUUCACAUCUUUUGGUGAUUGCAUCUUUUAGGUUUAUAGCAGCUAAGUUUGCAUGAAAACACCAGGGCUGUUUCAUUUCAGUCAAGAAUUAAUGUUCAUUGAUUGUGCUUCUGCAUUUCAUGUAACUAUUGUAGAAUUUGUUUUAGUUUUAUGAGGGAAUAAUUGUUCCAACUUCUAUAUAACUCAGGAAUUUACUCUCAAACAACACUGUCAAUUAGUUACUUAUCUCUCUGGAAAUGAUCUGGGAACAUGGAGAGGAAAGGGAGGAAGGGGCAAAAUCUGACCACUUAAAUCUAAGCAUAUUAGAUCAUUUUAUGCUAGAAAGUCCUGAAUGAUGUGACUUUCGUUCUUGUAAAACACCUCUUUCCAUAGAUUCAUGGCCCAAACAGUAUAUAAAGAGUGGGGAAGGAACUGCAUUUGCAAAUAGUUCAAAUCAUUGCUCCAUCUUAACUACGCAGUUCACAAAGUGUGAAGAAAUGUGAUCAUCUCAAAAAAGAUAAUGGGGAAAAAAUAUGUUUUGUUCUGUGACUUUAAAGUCUUGCAAUAUUUUACAUAAAUGAUAAUGGGUGCUUUAAUAAGAACUCUUGAUACUUUUGUUAUUGUAUUCAAUAUAUGCAUAUAAUACAACAGGAUGAUAUUGUUUUGGAUUUGGAAAUGUAUUCUUUCUUAUGCAAUCUUAUGCAGUCAUACUGCUUGAAUAUCAUUACCUGAAUUUAUCUUUCUUUUUUUUGUUGUUGUUUUACACUCUACUUAUUUGGUGCCUGUCAGUCUUUUGUCGUCAGUUUAUAUUCUACUAAACUCAAAAAGACAAUCUCAUACCUUUUGUAAUUGUAGGCAUUCUUUACUAGAUUUUUAAAUACACUUCAAAAAUUCAAGUACUUUGAUUUCAUGCCAUCAAGUAGCUGAAUCUAUCCCCCCGUCUCUUUUUAAAUUUAAGUGAGUAGUUCAAUUUCUGUCACUUUCUACUUUGUGAAUUCUAAAUCUUUUAAAACCAUCUUGCCAUUUUUCGUGCACUUACCCUUACAGAAAACUCUGUGAAACACUACUUAUCUCUACUUUUAUGUUUUUAACUCCUUUUUUAUAUUACUAUUCCCUCUGCUUUCUAAAUGCACAUAUUAAUUUGUUCUUUUUAUUCUCUGUAGCUCUUCUCAGUGUAUGAAUUCAGUUUCCCAUCAGUCUCCAUACAAUUAAAAAAAAGUUGAGUAUUCUGUUAUUUUAAUAAGAUAUCUAGUGCCCAUAUUCUAAUUCUGCCCCUUAUUUUUAAUAUAAUUUUAUUGUUGAUUUAAAAUGACAACAGUUUCAAUUCCCAGAAAGUGAAAGGAAACAAAGGAAUAAUAUUAUAGGCUUAAUUUUUAUCAGUGAACUUGUAGGUGAAGAAAAGAUUUGGGGAAGGAAAUGAACAUAUUAUAUUGCAAAAUAGUAAGGAACAAUCAGAUGUGUUUUCUAGUCUCUGGAAAAGCAUGUUUCAAGAAAUUCAAUGAAAAGUUCAUCAUGCUUGCUUAGAUUGUUGAGAAGCAAAAACACUGAUGAACAUUUGGAAGCAAUGAGAAUGUAAUUCUAAUCAUACUCUUUUAAUAAUGUUGCAAAACUCUCCAAACACUACUCUGUGUGGAUGUCUUUCAGAAUAUGAUGAAUACUAGUAGUCUUAUUCUGCCCUUUUCUCUCUAUCACAAUAUAUACAUUCUAUAUUGCAUACACAUAUUUUCCAAAUAUUACAUAUAAUUUCAUGUAAUUUAUAGACCUAUUAAGGCCCAACCAUUUUCUUGGAUAGGGGAUUCUUUAGAAGUCCAGCUUAAAUAAAGCCCGUAUAGAAAGUUUUUUUAAAAUUUAUACAUAAUCACCUAAAGUAACCUUAUCUACUGAACUCUUAGUACAUGCUACUGGAACCUUUUAUCAUGUUUCUUCCUGGCUUGCAUUACAACACUGUUGACAUAUCUCAGCCUUACUUCUAGGCUUCUUUGAGAGCAUGACUCAUGUUUGUAUUCCUCACUGAGGUUGAAUGAAUAAGAGAAACUACAGUAGUAGGAAAAAACAGUACAUGUACAUAUCAAUGAAUAUGAAAGGGUCAAAUGGAUCUAUUAUAGUAAGCACAAAAUCAACUGACACCAGCAAAGUAAACCCAAAAUUUUUAAUGGUAUUUUAAUAGAUCAAGAGGAGCAAGCAGAUUUUUGAGACAGUUGUCUCCUACUUUCUCUAUCACAGGGAGUAAUUUUAAAAGAAAAAUGGAGGGUAAGUUUCUUUAAGAGAAAAUUGUAGUUUAAAACAGGUCAUGGGAUAAUUAGAAAUAAUUUAAUUUCUUUAGAGGAUUUUAAUCUUUCAACUGCUUGCAAUUAGAUCCUAAGGCAAUAAAAGAAUAAGGAGAUUUGGAAAACCAUUGUCUGUAAUCUCUGAAGAAAAGUGGACAUUAGGGGAGUCAGUUGAAAAGCAAAGCUAUCACCAUUUUCUAAAGAGGAAAAAGGUGAACCUCACAAACUAUAGACCAAAAAAAUAGGACAUCGAGAGAAAGAAUAUGAAGCUAGCAUAGGUUCACAAAGAAUGAGUCAAAUCAAACAACAUGCAUUUUUUAUUUAUAAAGCAUGACUUGUUCAUUGUCAAUUCAUGUUAGCUUAAUCAUUAGGCAUUAAUGCCAUCACUGCAAUGCAUAUGUCAGCAAUAAAUAAUCAAAGACCAGGCUUCCAUCAUUCUGUUUAAUAUCUUCAAGUAAUGCUUAAGUUUGCAAAUGCUCUUUUAACACAUUCUCCAUAUGCAGCCUGCCCAGCACUGCACACAAUAGACCUGUUACUUCCCCCUCACGAGCACUCCUAAUAUUUCAUGUGCUCAUCCAAUUGACUUCUCCCACUGGUGCCUCAUAUUGAAUUUGUAGAAUCACACCUGCUCCUUUUUCAAAACUCUUCUGAGUUUUUUCUUAAAUAAUUCACUGACCCCAAAGUUGUCAGAUAUUUGAAGACUACUCGCACAAUUUUAAUAUUAUAAAUGUAUAAUGUAAAUGUAAUUAAGAUUUGUAUAAUGUACGAUGUACUUUGGUAAAUAAAAGUAUGCUGUGAAUAAAUACGUAUGAUACAAUUCAAAAUUUUACAUAAAUAUGUGAUAAAAUUUAGCUCAUAUUCUUUUUUUUUUUCUUUGAGACGGAGUCUCACUCUGUUGCACCCAGGCUAGAGUGCAGCAGCAUGAUCUCAGCUCACUGCAACCUCUACCUCCUGGGUUCAAACAAUUCUCCUGCCUCAGCCUCCUGAGUAGCUGGGAUUACAGGUGCCCGCCACCAUGCCCAGCUAAUUUUUUUCUAUUUUUGUUGUUGUUGUUGUUUUUAGUAGAGACGGGGUUUCACCAUGUUGGUCAGGCUGGUCUUGAACUCCUGACCUCAGAUAAUCCACCUGCCUCGGCCUCCCAAAGUUCUGGGAUUACAGACGUGAACCACGGUGCCCGGCCUAGUUCAUGUUCUUUAAGGACAAUUAUGAAUAUUUUUAUGCACUGUUAAUUUUCAUUAAGAUAUUGAUCAAUUAAUAGCUAUAUAUGUUCUAUAAAUUAAUCCUAUCUAGUUUCAAUCUUAAAUUGUUUGCAUAUACCAAUCUAGUUUAUUGUUUGCAUAUAUUUUAUAGUGUAGAGAUUAGGCAUUUUAAUAAAAUUUUAAAAUUUCCAGGACAUACUGUUAAUGACUAUGCUUCCUACUAUAGGCCAUAAUUAAUUUUUUUCUAUUGUCAACAAUAUUUUGGUAGGGAUGAUCAGGAAAUAAGGAAAUGUUUCCUUCAUUUGUUAACAAUAGGUGUUUGGGGAUUUUAAAAUGAAAAUUGAAGAAGUAAAAGACACCAUAUAUUUAGUUUGUUUGAUUUCGUGGCUUCAAGAGUUCAAUAAUUUAUUGAAAUAUUUUACAGACCAAAGAACAACAGAUAUAUUACGUUUAUAAGCCCCCACAUAUUUUAAAGGAUAAUGGUUUAUAUAUGAAAAUUCCCUGAACCUACACUUCAUC
rnacentral:lncRNA from 1 species